ensembl:lincRNA
GUGGUCGCUGCCGCCCCACUGGCUCCCGGGUGGACACUAACACCGUGACACAGAGAAUGCUCUGCCGCUCUCCGUGCCCUGGCGUGGGACCGUGACAGGUCUCCAAGAUGUGUUAGGAAGUGAAAAGGCCAAGGAGCAGAGCAGUGUGGUCAGGAGGCCGCCGCUGACGAAAGGGAGCAGUAGUCACGUGGACCUGCAGGCUGAAGGCUCUGCGGCAGGACGGCGGGAGUCUGAGGAGCAGCAGGCCAGGCCCAAGUGUGGCCGUGACCUCUGAGCGGUAGCAAGCCCAUGGGACACAGAGUGUUCGCAGGGCUGGGGCUCAAAACAUCCGACCAGAAAAAGUCCCUGAGGAGCCACUGAAGAAAGGGCCACGCAGCUGUCUAAGGCUUCAGUCCCUCCUGGAGCUGGCAGCACAGAGCUCUGGACCAGCCCCAGGACCAGGGGACGAGGGGAAAUGCAGGGAAAAGAGACGGUCUGCCGGAUUUCUGCAGUGAUGGCCAGCCAGUUAAGUUCCGAGCCGGCAGGAACCCAGCUCUCCCGAUGCUUGGCCGGGAGUCCGUCCCCCGCAUGGGACAUCCUCAAACUUAAAGCACUUGAUCUUCUAACAAGCUCCACAGUCAGCUGUGUCCCCUGUUUGUUCACAGAAGUUUCAGGAGGCCUGGCCGCUGAGCCGCUGCUUCCCCAUCUCAGGAAAAAGGGCAGUUUAAGGGCUGAUACUUUAUAUCGUGCCCCUCCCUGGGAGCUAUUAGGCAAGUGAGGCGUUGACUUUCUGAAGCCCUUGCUGUUUAGCUGCAGGAUUAGUUCUAGUCCAUUUACUCACCAAGUCUGCUGGCCAAACGCGGAGACCAGAAAAGCACAUCUCCAUUGCAUAAUAAAUGUUUAAAAACGACAGUCAGGUUUGACCAGAAAAUGCCCCCGCUGGCAGGCCUGAAGCCACACUGGCUCCAGUGUUUAAAGUUCAGCUCCAUUGCCCCCCCUACCUACACCGCCUGCCUCCAGGCACGCAAACGGGCAGGAGCCUCCCUACCUGCCUCCCUCUGCCACCUGCCCACCAGGUGACAGCACAGCCAGCAGCAGUUAAACCCUCCACAAACGCCCCAAGGUCCUCUGCUGGGUUUCUGUAUGGGUCCUGCUUCCUCCACCAAGCCUGGGGCUCCCGGAGGUCAGGACCGUGUCUCCCCCGACACCCACCCCAGCCUUCAGGUCUUCCCACCCAGCCCAGCACAGACCUCGACCCACCAAUGGUUCCCUUGUGCCCAGGCUCCAGGCUCCAGCCUCAUUUGCAAACAAAGACCAGAUCUGUGUCAGAGCUGGCAGAUGUUAAAGAUAACCCCUCUCGGUCCUUUAGGAAUUAGUCUAAAAUAUGCAAUUGUAUUUCAGGAACCUUAAGGGUGUUUCUGAAACCUUGGGGCCCAAGACAGUUAUACCGUAUGUCCAUUUUAGACUUUGGAAAAUAGGGCGCUAUAAUUGGAAAAGCUAGCAUAGCGCUAAGUACAGGGAGCCGGUCUCCUUACAUCUCAAAUACCAGGUAUUUAGGUGGCUUUCUUGGAACCUGGCAUUAGGGACACGUGUGAACGGGCCAGGCUCAUUUCUGCGGAGUAAGUGGGCGUGGCCAGUGAGGGUGCUCAGGCAGGCGGGCAGUGCCGUCUCUGACCCCUGAUGCUAAUGUCCCUGCUGCCUGGCACAGGGGCCCCAGACUCACCUCCCUGCCCCCUCUCCUCUUCUGCUGACCUGGGCUUUCCCAGUCCCCAGGAGCACUCGGGGUUGGUGCCUAUUCCCUAAGGCAUGCCAGGCCCUGGCUUCUUCCAACGUUGGAAAAUGGGCCCCCUGUUGUUUGCCAGAGCGUGGGAGCAAUGCCCUUGGGUGCUGGCGCCAGACUGUCUGAGUUCAAAUCUUACCAUCCG